AAUCAACGCUGGCGGCGCGCCUAACACAUGCAAGUCGAACGAGAAAGUCCGCAAGGAUGAGUACAGUGGCGUACGGGUGAGUAACACGUGGAUCAUCUACCCUCUUGUGGGGAAUACCGUUUCGAAAGGGACGACAAUACCGCAUAAGCUCGAGAGAGGAAAGCAGAAAUGCGCAGGAGGAGGAGUCCGCGGCUGAUUAGCUAGUUGGUGAGGUAAUGGCUCACCAAGGCACAGAUCAGUAGCCGGCCUGAGAGGGCACACGGCCACACU
rnacentral:rRNA from 1 species